CGUUGGGCGGAGAGGAUGGGGUUAAAGUGAGCUGUUCAGUGGCGCGUAUCGCGCUGGUUCGUCCGCUCAGCUAUUUGGCUGGGUUGGUAGUGGUGCCUAACAGGCAAAGAAAACUCAGUAUUCGCGAGAAAUGUUGGUUUUGUGUGCGUCUCUGGGCUGAUUGGUGCAUGCAAGAUAAACACCUUAGAUCCCUGGAGAUAUUGGUUGGAUUACACACCAAACUGUGAUGCUUCUAGAGUGCAUUGGUCACUGGCAUAACAGGUUCUGCUAUCCAUCCUCUGCCAAUAACUGCUUUAAAGUUAAAAAAAGGUACCUUGUAGCCAUGAAUGUUCAUUUUCUGGCUGUUGUAACUUCAAGAAUACCACCAGUAAACACAUACUGGAAGAUAAGUAUAUUUUUCAAAUAAGCCACAAGAAGGCAACAGUCACUUUUCUAGCCUGAGUGAGAGAAUGAGGAAAAAAAGAACAUUUGCACAUAAGGAGCUGGAAUCCAUAAUGUUGAAAAGGGAACUCUGUCAGAGAGAACUCAACACAUACAGCUUCUGAAUGGAGAGUAUUUACCAGCCUUGGAGGCAAACCUGUUCAGAACUGGACAUGAUCAACUUGGUGACUUCAUCUGUUACCAUGUGUGUUGAAUAUUAGUAUUCCUGUGCUGCAUUCACCGCAAGCUAUAGGCCUUGUAUUUAUAAGAUCACAAAUGUUUCUCUUUUGAAUACUGCUUUUUAAAAAAGGACAGCCAAGCUGAAGAUAAUUUCUUGCAGAAAUGUGAUGAAAACACCUGUGAUGAAAACACAGAAAAAUAACCCACAGUGCAUAGAGAAAAUAAUUGUGUGUUACUUGGUAAAUAUUCAAAUUAACAAAGCUCCAAGAAUAUGAAAGCAUAAGGGACAAGGGAGCUGUGGAUCUUCUUCUGCAGAAUAAUCAUGCAAAAGUCGAAAAGCAGCAUCUAGGAGAUGUGUUUUAUCAUCAAGGAACGUGCAACACAUUUAUAGAGUGUGAUUCAGAAAUGCAAAUGAAAAAGUAGAGUUUGUCUUUUCAGUAGAAGCUUUGUUAAAAAUUUGAAUAGAUGGACCAAUUUGGCUAGCCAGUGUUAUCCUUAUUAAAUUCAUAGAAAACUUUUCCUGAAAACUCCAUGUUAUGUGGCUCAGUAACUCUUAAGCAUGUAGAAAAAUCAUUGAUUCCAUUUUCUAAUCCAGUGCCAAAAUCUAGUUUGUCUGUGACAGACUGGAGAAAGAUCAGUGUAACUUGGUAAGCAUUGGCAUCUGUUUCUUUAUUUUCAUGUGUGAUAUUGUGAUGUAAAGCACUGGGUGUCAGCUCAUCAUUUUGCUUGUAUGUAUAUUUGAAAAAGUAAAAUGUUACCACUGAUGUGGUUUUUACCACCUGCAUUAUAAGGGUAGAGGAAAAAAUACCCAUCAUUUUGAAAUAAAUCCUUAGAUUUGGUUAAAUGGAUGAGCGUACCAGUACCCAUAUUUUAAAAUAACUUGGAAAAUAGUUAUCUCUAAGAUGGCAGUUGGGGAAAGUGAAUGCAGUGUACAAGGUGUAUAUAGCACAGUAGUUGCCUGUUAGCAGGAGUAUUAAUUUACUACAAGGAAGUCAGGACUAAAAUGUCAUAUGUAAGGAAAUGAUUUUAUAGUAUUUGCAUUUUGCAAAAAGUUGUUUGAUGUAGUAAGUAUUGUAUCUGUUAUGAAGCACUCAUUCCACAAGCAUUACCAGAAGUCUUAAUAAUUUAAUAAUCAGAAGAAUGGUAUUAUUAACUGUCCUAUUUUAGGUAUACCACUCCCUACAAGUGAAGAAACAAAGGGCUACUAAAGAGGCUAUGUGAUCUUGGUUGGCAUAGGAAGGGAUGGAGGGACAGGAUUAUGAAAAAUAAAGUAAAUCUGUGCUUCCUCUAGUUUCAUGGCAAUGCAUGUUUAGAUUAAGAAAUCUGCAAAUCUUUAAAAUAGAAUCUGGAACUUUGAUAAAAUAGUGCUAUUAAAGUACAUUAAUAUGACCAUA